GUGCCAUGAGAUUUAUUGAAGAAAAUUCAGUAGAGCACCCAAGACCCUAGGCAAACCUAGGUGAUUGUAUUAUUAUUUUUCCUUUCAUGUGCAAAAUUUAUAUAAUCGUUGCUCAUGCAUGAAUUUACAACAUAUAGCAUAUAUUUGAUGAGAUCACAUUGUUAGUUUAGUGCCUUGGAGCUGAAUGAUACAUGAAACUAAGUAUACCUUAAUCUAUAAUUGAAUGAUAAUAAUUGAUGAUGAUGUGAUAGUGAAAUAUUGGUGUUAACUUUGGUUUGUUCUUUGUGAUGUUCAGGAGAUAGUGAUGUCACAGAAAAACCAGUAGACCCGAUUAAAGUUUACUCUGAGAGAUAUGCAGUUGUUCCUGAUGACAACGUCAAAAGGAUAAAUUUUGCCGAGGGGAAGAUCUGAUUCUAGAAGUAAGGAAUUUGCAGCUUGAUUUUUGAAA